CCUACGGGCGGCAGCAGUGGGGAAUUUUGCGCAAUGCUCGUAAGAGUGACGCAGCGACGCCGCGUGAAUGACGAAGGCCUUCGGGUCGUAAAGUUCUUUCGACAGGGAAGAAAAUGCCUAUAAGUAACUGUGUAUGUAUUGACGGUACCUGUAUAAGCAGCCCCGGCUAACUCCGUGCCAGCAGCCGCGGUAAUCCGGAGGGGGCGAGCGUUGUUCGGAGGGACUGGGCGUAAAGAGCACGUAGGCGGUGUUGUAAGUCAUUAGUCAAAGACUAGAGCUCAACUUUAGUAAGGCUGGUGAUACUAUAAGACUAGAGUAGGAGAGAGGAUGGCGGAAUGCCUGGGGUAGCGGUGAAAUGCGUAGAUAUCAGGAGGAAUACCGUUAGCGAAGGCGGCAAUCUGGCUGGAAACUGACGCUGAGGUGCGAAAGCGUGGGUAGCAAACAGGAUUAGAUACCCGAGUAGUC
rnacentral:rRNA from 1 species